UUAAGUUAGAAAGGGCGCACGGUGAAUGCCUUGGCACUAGGAGCCGAAGAAGGACGCGACGAACGGCGAAACGCCUCGGGGAGCUGUAAGUAAGCUUUGAACCGGGGAUAUCCGAAUGGGGGAACCCACCAUCUGUAAUGGGAUGGUACCCGUAUCUGAAUCUAUAGGAUACGAGGAGGCAGACCUGGGGAACUGAAACAUCUAAGUACCCAGAGGAAGAGAAAGCAAAUGCGAUUUCCUGAGUAGCGGCGAGCGAAACGGAAUUAGCCCAAACCAAGAGGCUUGCCUCUUGGGGUUGUAGGACACUCUAUACGGAGUCAAAAAGAAACGGAGUAGGUGAAGCGAUCUGGAAAGAUCUGCGAGACAAGGUAACAGCCCUGUAGCCGAAACUUCGUUUCCUCCAGAGUGGAUCCUGAGUACGGCGGGACACGUGAAACCCCGUCGGAAUCUGGGAGGACCAUCUCCCAAGGCUAAAUACUCCCUAGUGACCGAUAGUGAACCAGUACCGUGAGGGAAAGGUGAAAAGCACCCCGGGAGGGGAGUGAAAGAGAUCCUGAAACCGUGUGCCUACAACUAGUUGGAGCCCAUUAACGGGUGACAGCGUGCCUUUUGUAGAAUGAACCGGCGAGUUACGAUCCCGUGCAAGGUUAAGCUGAUAAGGCGGAGCCGUAGCGAAAGCGAGUCUGAAUAGGGCGAAAGAGUACGUGGUCGUAGACCCGAAACCGUGUGAUCUACCCAUGUCCAGGGUGAAGUUCAGGUAACACUGAAUGGAGGCCCGAACCCACGCAUGUUGAAAAAUGCGGGGAUGAGGUGUGGGUAGGGGUGAAAUGCCAAUCGAACUCGGAAAUAGCUGGUUCUCCCCGAAAUAGCUUUAGGGCUAGCCUCGAGGAAGAGUCUUGGAGGUAGAGCACUGAUUGGACUAGGGGUCCCCACAGGAUUACCGAAUUCAGUCAAACUCCGAAUGCCAAAGACUUAUCCUCGGGAGUCAGACUGCGAGUGCUAAGAUCCGUAGUCAAGAGGGAAACAGCCCAGACCAUCAGCUAAGGUCCCCAAGUAUACGUUAAGUGGAAAAGGAUGUGGAGUUGCCCAGACAACCAGGAUGUUGGCUUAGAAGCAGCCACCAUUUAAAGAGUGCGUAAUAGCUCACUGGUCGAGUGACUCUGCGCCGAAAAUGUACCGGGGCUAAACGUAUCACCGAAGCUAUGGAUUGACACCGUUGGUGUCAGUGGUAGGGGAGCGUUCUAAGUGCAGCGAAGUCAGACCGAGAGGACUGGUGGAGCGCUUAGAAGUGAGAAUGCCGGUAUGAGUAGCGAUAAGAGGGGUGAGAAUCCCCUCCGUCGAAAGCCCAAGGUUUCCUGAGGAAGGCUCGUCCGCUCAGGGUCAGUCGGGACCUAAGCCGAGGCCGAAAGGCGUAGGCGAUGGACAACAGGUUGAUAUUCCUGUACCACCUCCUCACCGUUUGAGCAAUGGGGGGACGCAGAAAGGUAGGGUAAGCGCGGCAUUGGAUGUCCGCGUCCAAGCAGGUAGGCUGAGAAGUAGGCAAAUCCGCUUCUCAUGAAGGCUGAGCUGUGAUGGCGAGGGAAAUAAUAGUACCGAAGUUCCUGAUCCUACACUGCCUAGAAAAGCCUCUAGCGAGGUGUGAGGUGCCCGUACCGCAAACCGACACAGGUAGGCGAGAAGAGAAUUCUAAGACGCUCGGGAGAACUCUCGUUAAGGAACUCGGCAAAAUGACCCCGUAACUUCGGGAGAAGGGGUGCUCUAUUAAGGUGAAUAGCCUGAGAGAGCCGCAGUGAAAAGAUCCAAGCGACUGUUUAGCAAAAACACAGGUCUCUGCGAAGCCGCAAGGCGAAGUAUAGGGGCUGACACCUGCCCGGUGCUGGAAGGUUAAGAGGAGGGGUU
rnacentral:ncRNA from 2 species